UCAGGCUCUUGCUUCCCCCAGAGGCUGGAGUCAGACCUGCUCUGAGGACAGCGAUGUGGAGCCGAGCCUGUCCCUGGGAGACAUGAGAGGUGGAGAGCAGGACCAUGGAACAACGCAGAGGCUUCACUCUGGAUGACAAAUGAGGAGGAGAGAGGCCUGCCCUGCCUGGACUCCGGGUUGCCAGCAGGAAGCUGAGUCGCCCUGAGGUCGGUCAUGAUUUCAGACGGUCCCCCUGGGCCCUGGUCUCUGCCUGUUGCUUUGUCAGCCAUUCGCAGACCUCCCCAACCUCCCACCCUGCGCAAUGCCCCAGCCCCAGAUGUCAUCCCAGCGGCUCCUGCCCCUCCCCAGCACAGCACAGCCAGGUGUCCCGUAGGAGGAUGCACACCUUCCACCCUUUCAAGAAGAGCCUUCCACCUUUGUGUUGAGCCCUGGGCAAACCCCAGCGGGCCAGCAUAUUUAGGAGGCACCUGUGGACUGAGGAGGCAAGGCUGGGCUCGGUCAAGGGCAUGGCCCUCCACAGCCUGCAGGACUGUUUUUCAUCUCUGCUCCUUGAGUUUCUAGUGAUGGGGUCUUGGGUAUGCGAUUCAGCUUCUCUGAGCCUCAGCGGCCUUCCCUGUAAAAUGGGUGUGAUAACACUUGCCUCAAGCGUGGUAAAAGUCAUUUGUGAUACAUUGUGAUACCAUACAUUGUGAAUCGUAUGAAGUUGCCUAUGGACAACCAAAUUUGGACUUUACUAUUUAUUGGGUGAGCCUGAGUGGUUCAGUCGGUUAAGACUCUGCCCUUGGCCUCAGGUCAUG